rnacentral:rRNA from 1 species
UACGUAGGGUGCGAGCGUUAAUCGGAAUUACUGGGCGUAAAGGGCGCGUAGGCGGCCAUCUAAGUCAGACGUGAAAUCCCCCGGCUUAACCUGGGAACUGCGUCUGAUACUGGAAGGCUUGAGUUUGGGAGAGGGAUGCAGAAUUCCAGGUGUAGCGGUGAACUGCGCAGAUAUCAGGAGGAACACCGGUGGCGAAGGCGGUUCUCUGGGCAUUACCUGACGCUGAGGAGCGAAAGUGUGGGGAGCGAACAGG